UACGAAAGGAUCAAGUGUUAUCCACAAUGAUUGGGCGUAAAGGGUAAUUAGACGGCUCCAGUAAUUCUUUUUGUGAAAGAUUAAUUUAAUUUUUAAAAACACGCAAGAAACACUUUAGCUAGAGUUAAAUAUGGGUAACAAGAAAUUUAUUCCUAGUAGUAAAAUGCAUAGAGUAAUAAAAGAAUGUCAGAGGCGAAGGCGUGUUACUAGAUUUAUACUGACGUUGUUAGACGAAGGCUAGGGUAGCAAACAGGGA
rnacentral:rRNA from 1 species